rnacentral:rRNA from 1 species
GAUGAACGCUGGCGGCGUGCCUAAUACAUGCAAGUCGAGCGAACAGACGAGGAGCUUGCUCCUCUGACGUUAGCGGCGGACGGGCGAGUAACACGUGGAUAACCUACCUAUAAGACUGGGAUAACUUCGGGAAACCGGAGCUAAUACCGGAUCAUAUAUUGAACCGGAUGGUUCAAUAGUGAAAGACGGUUUUGCUGUCUCUUAUAGAUGAAUCCGCGCCGCAUUAGCUAGUUGGUAAGGUAACGGCUUACCAAGGCAACGAUGCGUAGCCGACCUGAGAGGGUGAUCAGCCACACUGGAACUGAGACACGGUCCAGACUCCUACGGGAGGCAGCAGUAGGGAAUCUUCCGCAAUGGGCGAAAGCUUGACGGAGCAACGCCGCGUGAGUGAUGAAGGUCUUCGGAUCGUAAAACUCUGUUAUUAGGGAAGAACAAAUGUGUAAGUAACUAUGCACGUCUUGACGGUACCUAAUCAGAAAGCCACGGCUAACUACGUG